UUAAUGAGAGUUUGAUCCUGGCUCAGGACGAACGCUGGCGGCGUGCCUAAUACAUGCAAGUAGAACGCUGAGGUUUGGUGUUUACACUAGACUGAUGAGUUGCGAACGGGUGAGUAACGCGUAGGUAACCUGCCUCAUAGCGGGGGAUAACUAUUGGAAACGAUAGCUAAUACCGCAUAAGAGUAAUUAACACAUGUUGGUUAUUUAAAAGGAGCAAUUGCUUCACUGUGAGAUGGACCUGCGUUGUAUUAGCUAGUUGGUGAGGUAAAGGCUCACCAAGGCGACGAUACAUAGCCGACCUGAGAGGGUGAUCGGCCACACUGGGACUGAGACACGGCCCAGACUCCUACGGGAGGCAGCAGUAGGGAAUCUUCGGCAAUGGACGGAAGUCUGACCGAGCAACGCCGCGGGAGUGAAGAAGGUU
rnacentral:rRNA from 1 species